rnacentral:piRNA from 1 species
UCCAAAUUUUGGUAGAAGUUACGUUAGCCUC